UACGGAGGGUGCAAGCGUUGUCCGGAUUUAUUGGGUUUAAAGGGUGCGUAGGCGGCCCUGUAAGUCAGUGGUGAAAUACUGCAGCUUAACUGUAGCAUUGCCAUUGAUACUGUAGGGCUUGAGUACAGAUGAGGUAGGCGGAAUUGAUGGUGUAGCGGUGAAAUGCAUAGAUACCAUCAAGAACACCGAUUGCGAAGGCAGCUUACUAAGCUGUAACUGACGCUGAGGCACGAAAAGCGUGGGGGAUCGAAACAGG
rnacentral:rRNA from 1 species